ACUGCCUGUGGAACUGAGGGAAUUCCCACUCCCUUCCAAUCCCUACUCCCUUCUCCAUACUCCUUUUCCUGAGCUCUGGAAUUGCCCGUCUCAUUAUUGUUGCCUCUCCAGCUCUUCCAAACCCUAGGGUUUCAGGCAGCUUCUCCCCUAAAAUGGGACAUAUGUGGAUUGGCGGGGUGGGCUCUAUUCUUCAGAUAAUCACAGCCUCCUCUGGCUACUACACUCUCUCCCCACAGCCCUAUGUGCCAUACUCACUUUGUCCUUGGGGUACUGAGGAGAGGGAUGAAUCACAAUGAACCUGAACUUGCCCCUUCGGGCAACAGGAGAGGAGUCAGUCUGGAGUGCACAGAGCAGGGAAGAUGCUCCUUGCCCAAGUGAAGUCCCUGGGUUAGAGGGUCCUCCUCACAGGAUCUUCUCUGGGCCCCACCUAGAGGGCCCAGAGGGCUGGAGAGAGAUGAACACCGUCCAAGGAGAGACCAGGCCCAAAGUCUCGCGGGAACCAACAAAGAAGGCCAGCAGAAAGCAUCUACAACAUUCAACAUCGAUUCACUCCAUAAGAGACAGUUCCUCAGACUGCAGCUGUGACUCACCUCGCUGUUCUUUUUGCUCUGAUCAUCCAGACCUCUGGAACCUUGUGAAGACUGUGCUGCUGAACCAUCUCCCAAUGAGUUCCCUGAAUGCCAAUGCUAGUACAUCUACUAUGGCCAAGAAUUCCAAAGUGUCAAAGAACAGGCAAACUGUGAAGCUCAAACCAGCUCUUAUCACCAGAUGCUCAGAUGAUGCAUCAGGACCCCAGAAACGGUUCCACCCAUUUCGGGUGCGCUUCGCAGAUGAGAGCCCCAAGGACAUGGCAUUGCGAUACUGGGAGAGAAACUAUGAGUUUCAGAGAAGCCUCCUCAAGAGCCCAACAUCAUGUAAGUCCCCAGAACAGAUAUCAGGGAAACUGGGGAUUUGGAUGGAGAAAGCCCCACGGAGUGGAUCUCAGCAGACAAACACGUGGCGAGAUGAAUUCCUUUGUGCUGGGAGAUUGGACACCUUGCCCAUGUCCUUCCAGGAGCUGUCUGCUGAUAAUCUAAAGAAGAACUCCACCUACAGCUCUCUGCAUACCAGCCCAUUGGCCAGCCUUGACUUCUGUGGUACCAGGCCAUUCCAGGACCAGGCCACCGAUCCCCCUAAGAAGAAUUCCACCUGUAGCUCUCUGCACACCAACACCUCAAGUACCAUUGAUUUCUCUGGUAGCAGGCCAUUCCAAGACCUUCCCACUGAUUCCCCUAAGAAGAGUUCUACCUUCAGCAAUUUGUACGGCAGCACACUGGCUAACAUUGACUUCUCUAGUCCGAGGUUAUUCCAGGAUCUGUCUAUCGAUCCUGCCAAACACACUUCUAAGUUCACCAGCCCAGUAAUCAGCACUGACAGGCCAAGAAGUCAAACUGUCAACACUGGAGCCUCCUCAGUGAGUGAGAACUCUCCUUCCUUGUGGGCUUCCAGAAUGGAUACCUUUAUACCUCACAUGAUGUUGUUGACUAGCCGGAAGGGAGGACAGGCAGGAGCUUAUCAGUUCUUUCCUCCACUUAUCCCACUCAGGACUCAAAGUACCAACCAAGGCAGCUCUGAGCCUCCCAGAUAGACAGCUAGCCAGAGUGGCUCCUGAACAAGGCAACAUGAAGAUCAAACAUGGUGACCCCAGGGACACAGGGGUGGCAAGCAGAAGAGAGGGACAACUUCAGCAGCUCCCUCUGCUCCUUUUCCCCCGACGCUCCCUCUCUCCCCCCAAAUAAAAUUAACUAAAAACAGACA
ensembl:lncRNA